UCUGAAGAAUCAGACGUGGAUUGCUCCGAUAAGCCCACAAAGAUCAAUCUAUGGCCAAUUCUGCAACCAUGGGAUGUUCCAUGGGAUUGGAAGGUCGCGGUAUUUGUCAUGUUGCCAUAUGUCAUGAGGGAUAAUAGAAUCAGAAGGGUUGUCAAAGAUACCUCAGCCUCAUUUGGAGGGUCUGCAAGCACCAAUGCUGAGCAUGGAUGAACAAGGAAAUAGGUUUUUUAUUGACCAAUUAUUUAAAACAGUUGCUAAGCUUUCAGUGAUGUAUGUAUUCAUUAGCCCUUAUCAACCAUUUUCAGACAAUUUGUUCUCUUAUGGUAGGCCAUGAUAUUUUUACUUGGGUAUGAAUCAGUUUUUUUUAUUAUUGUAAUGUGAGUGGUAUUUACUUUUUGAAGAAGCUCUCAAAUGUAUCAAAACUCAAAAAAAAAAAUAAAAAAUGAAAUGAAAGAAAAAAGGAUAAGCAUUCAAUUAUAUUCAAUUUCAGCUUUAAUACGAUAGUAACUUUUAUCUAUUUACACAAUUAUAGUUGCACAGGCCUAAUGUUAUACCAAGCUUUGGAUCUCAAGUUUUGGGUUCAUCUAUUGUACCCCACCAAAUUUGAAUGCCUAGGAGUUAAUCUUGUUGGAUUUGCUUGCCAUCUUUCUCUUUCACCGAACUAUGUAAUAAACUACAGUCAAAGGAAUAAGAAUAUGUAAUAAACUAUAUGAAUCUGUCCAGAAUUUGAUUACAAGCCCCCAAAAGGACCUGGAAAGGAGACGUGACUUUUACCAAUCUACCUAUAAUCAGAAUCUAAGAAAACUAAGGCCUGUUCAAUAAAUUGAUAUAUUCAAAAUCGAUUCUAUGCACUAUGUGAAGGAAUUCUAAAGAACACUGUAGACUCAGAACUAAAAUUCGGAAGGUGGCUUGUUGUUGAUCAUAGGACUGUAUGGUUGUAGGAAGAGAGAUUGCUAACUUAUAUUGCUUGUUGUAACAGAAUGGAGGAAACCAUUUGACCUUCAGUGUGGUUGGGUUUUAUGGGGAGGCAUUGGGCUUUCAAUUGCAUCAACUUCUGUAUUUCUCACAAGGACUCUAAUACAUGGUGCAAGUGCUGGUCAAAUGCAAAAUGGGGUCUCUAUUCCUUUGCUAACAUAAUUCUGUGAACUUUGCUGGCUAUUUAGUAUUGCAAGCUUGGACAUGCAUUAGUCAUUUUCAUCAUAGUUGCUAUAUGGGUAGAAACGUUGAUCUUCAGUCUGAUGUUGUCGGUAUCAGGAUGUAUAGUUCCACAGAAAGUACCAAGUUUGUUGAAAGAUAAAGAGUAUAGUUCCAGUAGGUUCGCUUGGGCCAGGGAGAGUAGGGUUUUUUUUUUUAAAUGAUUUAACUGUUCUAUUAAGAGAAGAAGAGGGUUAUAAGGUGUCAAAAAAUAGGCUUCCCAAAAGCCGGGAUCUAUAUACAAAAAAUAAGCUUCCCAUGAAGCGGGAGCUCUAUACAAAAAAUAAAGGCUGCCCAACAAGGGUGCACCAAGAGGGUGAAAAAACAACAAAAGGGCCAGGAAGAGUAGUUUGUAGUUGAUUCUAGCUUAGCCAUGUCAUGGGAUCUUUUCAAAGGUGUGCCCUUGGAGAGAUGACAUGGGUAUCAAAGAUGAUGGACAUGGGAAUGCAUAUCAGGUUUCGUAUGUGAGUCAUCACAUAGUUUAGAAUUAUUUUCAGUUAAGAAUUAUUUUUCACAUUGGGAAUCAUUAUUUUGAAGCAAAUUGUAGGUGUGAUCACCUAUUAUUACAAAACCAAUUUCUGCCAAUUUGUCUAAGACACUUUCUAAGUAUUUUUGUGAAGGUGAUACAAAAUAUUAUUGUACCAGAACUGGAUUCCUUGUAUGCCUAAAUUUUUUUGGCUUUAUGUCCCAUUAUGUCCCAUUACAGGCAGAGUCUUUACUGCAGCUUUUGCCUCUUAUAGGUGCAUCAAAUAUCAGGUUUCUAUCUGAAGAAGUCUAUAUGAUCUUCCAAUAAUUUACGUGAUAUUGAGGUGUAUAGAGCUGGUUAUCAUCAUAUUUGUGCAAUUCCUUUUAAACUUGUGCAAUUGUUGUAUAUAUAAUUUUGUCAGCACUGCUUGUGUGCUUGGGGUAACGGGAAUUCUGGCGCCGCUUGGUGAAGAGACAUUAUAUCGCGGUUUCCUAAUGACUUCCCUAACAAAAUGGUUACCUGUACCUGUAUCCGUGGGUGUUAGUGCAUUUAUUUUUGCCCUUUGCCACCUGUCCCCUGGAAAAUUUGUGGAGAUUUUUAUAUUUGGUAUUGUCUUGGGGCUUGUAUA